GGGUAUUGGCCUACCGUGGCAAUGACGGGUAACGGGGAAUUAGGGUUCGAUUCCGGAGAGGGAGCCUGAGAAACGGCUACCACAUCUAAGGAAGGCAGCAGGCGCGCAAAUUACCCAAUCCUAAUACAGGGAUGUAGUGACAAGAAAUAACAAUACAGGACUUUAACAGUUUUGUAAUUGGAAUGGGUUGAGUAUAAACCCCUUUACAAGUAUCAAUUGGAGGGCAAGUCUGGUGCCAGCAGCCGCGGUAAUUCCAGCUCCAAUAGCGUAUAUUAAAGUUGUUGCAGUUAAAAAGCUCGUAGUUGGAUUUCUGUUAAUAAUUUAUAUAUAAUAUUUAACA
rnacentral:rRNA from 1 species